rnacentral:lncRNA from 1 species
UCUAGGCUGGAGGACAAGAUAACAACAUUUGAUGGAAAUGUGCAGCCUGUAUGAUGCAAUGAGUUAAUAAUGUUCAAAGUACUAAACUACCCUCAGCUGUAACAGUUAUAAGAGCUGAGUCUCCAUGAAGAAUACUGAAGUCAUAGAAAUCUAAUAACAAGUAGAGUUGAGCUGGCAUUAGAUAAGGGGGAAAAGGGCUUCCCAGAUGGCUCUAGUGGUAAAGAACCCACCUGCCAAUGAAGGAGACAUAAUAGAUGUGGGUUUGAUCUCUGGAUCAGGGAAGAUCCCCUGGAGGAAAUGACAACCUACUCUAAUAUUCUUGCCUGGGAAAUCUGAUGGACAGGGGAGCCUGGCACGCUACAGUUCACAGGGUUGCAAAGAGUCAGACAUGACCAUAGGGAGGAGCACAUAUAAGGAGGAAAAGGUAGUUAUCAAAAUAGAAGGUGGACUUCAUGUUUGUUUAGAUAGCGCAUCAUAAACUUCAAGAAAAAUCUUCUGGGUCCCCACACCAUCUUCCCUCCUGAAGUGAAAAUAGGCUGGAUAAGGCAGAUUAUCACUGUGGCUUCUAGAGAUUUGAUUUCUGCUGUUACUGAAUUUGGAAGAAGAAGAGAAAAAUGUGCUGUUCUCCAAGUGACUUAUUUAUGGGCUUCCACACUGGGAUAAUUCUAUAAGUCCUUGAAACGUGAACUUGAACUGUUCUACCCUGAUGACUGUCAGUUUUUGAAAAUGGAACAAAUCUAAUANNNNNNGAAGACUAUAAUCUAUUAAAGUCAUUCUUUAAUUUUUCCUGAUCUGUUGGCAUAUUUGGCUUGGGUUUUUGUUUUUAUUUUUUUCUUUUUUGUUUCAGGCACAAAGAACUAUUAUUGGCCCCUAAAGAAAACAAUAUUUUCCUCCUAAGUUCUUUGAAAUUUGGUUUUCAUGUUGAUUCUAUUAAAGGAAGAACAGACUUCACAGCUGGGACAAGAUCUGUUUGGCAUUUGUCUUCUGCAGCCUUGAAGAGUCUUUGUUGACCACUCUGGGUAAGGAAAAAUGCCACAAUAUUUAUUCCCAAAUAGUUAAAGUGGUUCUGGCCAGCUUCUAUUUUGGGAAAUUGCAUGUUGCCAACAUAAAGAAUUUCCCACAUCAUCUCUGUUAUAUUCUAUUCUUCAUUUCCUGCUCUGUAGUGGAACCAUGCUUUUUUUUUUUUCUUUUCCUUUUUUCCCCCAUGAAACUGCUGUCUUGUAGGGAGGAGGAGGCAGAGGUGAUUUCUUUAUUUUGAGGUCAUUUUGCAGACAGUGAGCUGCCAAAUCCAUUUGAGUAUUUUUCAAGAACCAACAUUGUUAUGCUUCACCUUGUAGCUGUGUAGGAGAUAUCCCAGAAAUUUCAUUUAUUGGGUACCAUAAAACUCAAGGCUUCGACAUAAUUCUUUUCCUAUAAAAUAAAGCUAUGUGGUAAGGCAAGAAAUACUGAGAACAACAAAUACGUGAAUAGCAGGCUCACAGAAAUGUCUUCUUCCCUUCUACCUCUUCACAGGCCUCAGCCACAUCAUUUGCUAGAAAAUCAUUAUGGCUGCCAUGCUCAUUGGGACUGCUGCUCAACUGUGACAAUUACAGCUGGUUUAUGAAGUCCUUGUGUCUGCUGAGCUGAUGAAGCUAAAAAUGAGCCAUAAUUUCUAUACUAACCCAAAAUGACUAGCCACCAUGAAGGUGUGUUCUCCUUUGCUGAGACACAGUGGUCAGCCUGAUGGGAAACAAGUAGAUAAUGUGAAAUGGAGGCAAAAGGCAAGCAGGCCAUUAUCCCAGGAUCAGUACUUAAACAUGUUCAUGGUGCUAAGCUUGCCCCUAAUGUUUCUGAGGUUGUAGCAAGACUAUAAACAGAGGUCUUAAAUAUUUAAAAUAUAUAAAGCUAAUAUACAAAUGCAUAAUAUAUUCUGUCCUCUUAUUUUGACAAGUACACUCUCAUGGUGACAUGGAAGUCUUAAACUUUGUGGAGUUAAUUAAUACUAUAACGCGAAUGGCAGAUUUAAGGGAGUGACUUUUAGUGGGAAGCAGUGAGGCUGUAUUACAAAGUCUUGGCAAAAGAUGCAGAGAGAAGAUAUGGAUAUGCAGGGACAAAUGGAAUACUAUUCUGUAACUUUGUAAACUGCU